rnacentral:misc_RNA from 1 species
GAUGAAGAACGAAGCGAAAUGCGAUAAGUAAUGCGAAUUGCAGAAUUCAGUGAAUCAUCGAAUCUUUGAACGCACAUUGCGCCCGCUAGUAUUCUGGCGGGCAUGCCUGUCUGAGCGUCAUUUCAACCCUCGCCCCCGGCUUUUGCUGGGAGCGGUGUUGGGGAUCGGCCGCCCGUCACUGGGAGGCCGGCCCCGAAAUAGAGUGGCGACCACGCCGUGUGCUCCUCUGCGUAGUAGUAAAUCACCUCGCAGGCGGACAGCGGUGCGGCCUGCCGUAAAACCCCCAACUCUUUCUGGUUGACCUCAGAUCAGGUAGGAAUACCCGCUGAACUUAAGCAUAUCAAUAAGCGGAGGA